rnacentral:ncRNA from 1 species
CUUAUCAAGAGUGGUGGAGGGACUGGCCCGAUGAAGCCCGGCAACCUGCCUGCCCGCGCAGCGGACACGGUAAGGUGCCAAGUCCAGCGGUUUUUCGUAAAGAUGAGG